UACGGGGGGGGCAAGCGUUGUUCGGAAUUACUGGGCGUAAAGGGCGCGUAGGCGGACCUGCAAGUCGGGGGUGAAAGCCCGAGGCUCAACCUCGGAACUGCCUUCGAUACUGCGGGUCUCGAGUCCGGGAGAGGUGAGUGGAAUUCCUAGUGUAGAGGUGAAAUUCGUAGAUAUUAGGAAGAACACCAGUGGCGAAGGCGGCUCACUGGCCCGGUACUGACGCUGAGGCGCGAAAGCGUGGGGAGCAAACAGG
rnacentral:rRNA from 1 species